ACGCACGCUGGCGGCGUGCUUAACACAUGCAAGUCGAACGGAAAGGCCCUGCUUUUGUGGGGUGCUCGAGUGGCGAACGGGUGAGUAACACGUGAGUAACCUGCCCUUGACUUUGGGAUAACUUCAGGAAACUGGGGCUAAUACCGGAUAGGAGCUCCUGCUGCAUGGUGGGGGUUGGAAAGUUUCGGCGGUUGGGGAUGGACUCGCGGCUUAUCAGCUUGUUGGUGGGGUAGUGGCUUACCAAGGCUUUGACGGGUAGCCGGCCUGAGAGGGUGACCGGCCACAUUGGGACUGAGAUACGGCCCAGACUCCUACGGGAGGCAGCAGUGGGGAAUAUUGCACAAUGGGCGGAAGCCUGAUGCAGCAACGCCGCGUGCGGGAUGACGGCCUUCGGGUUGUAAACCGCUUUCGCCUGUGACGAAGCGUGAGUGACGGUAAUGGGUAAAGAAGUACCGGCUAACUACGUG
rnacentral:rRNA from 1 species